GACGAACGCUGGCGGCGUGCUUAACACAUGCAAGUCGUACGGUAAGGCCCUUUCGGGGGUACACGAGUGGCGAACGGGUGAGUAACACGUGAGUAACCUGCCCACAACUUUGGGAUAACGCUAGGAAACUGGUGCUAAUACUGGAUAUGUGCUCCUGCUGCAUGGUGGGGGUUGGAAAGCUCCGGCGGUUGUGGAUGGACUCGCGGCCUAUCAGCUUGUUGGUGGGGUAGUGGCCUACCAAGGCGGCGACGGGUAGACGGCCUGAGAGGGUGACCGGCCACAUUGGGACUGAGAUACGGCCCAGACUCCUACGGGAGGCAGCAGUGGGGAAUAUUGCACAAUGGGCGCAAGCCUGAUGCAGCAACGCCGCGUGCGGGAUGACGGCCUUCGGGUUGUAAACCGCUUUCAGCAGGGACGAAGCUUUUUGUGACGGUACCUGCAGAAGAAGCACCGGCUAACUACGUG
rnacentral:rRNA from 1 species